UGAAACAGAGACACCGAGAGACACAGGGCUGACGCUGAAGUGAUUAUUCCAAACGGCUCUGCACGUCAUUCUUCUCUCUAGUGAUGGAUUGUUGGAAGUUCAAAUGAACUGAUCAUCACUGGUCCUUCCUUGAAUAACUCCUGCUCCAAAAAUCCUCUAAGAACUGUAACACUGCUAACAAAUAUG
rnacentral:lncRNA from 1 species